GGGAGGGUUUCUUAACCCCCUCUGGCUCAAGCACCCUUUUUAAGCCAGAGAGAAAUGUAAUUUGUUCCUUUUGUCUAAAGAUCUGCUAAAUAUUUCAGUCCUUGAGCUAAAAUAACUUCCUCUCUGGACAGGAAGUGGUGUUUUAUCAAGCCAUUUUGAAAGAGGGAUAAUUCUUAGAGAAUAUAAAGCUCAUCUUAAGUACUAAUCUUUUAAAAAAUUAACCCCCCCAGGGGUAAAAUGGUUUCCAAAUAAAAGCAAAACCUCAAUUUUAUAAGUUAAAUUCAAGUCUUGUCUUCUUUAUGAAGCCAAAACAUUAUCUAAAGGCAAAGUUUAAGGGGGAAUCUUCCAUCCCAAAUGGAAGAAAGGGGUAUAACUCAAGAGCGCCUCCCUAGUGUUCAGUUGCAUUAGAGCAAAAAUUAAUGCAACUGGUUUUUCUUCAAGAAUCUCAAUUUCCUUUUACUUUCAAAAAUUCUUUAACCCAUUAUAUAACCUUGCAAACUUUACCACCCAAAAUUCUCAUAACCACAAUAUAUUUAGUUCACACACUGAUUCAGGCGAAACCAAGUUCUUAAAUUCAAGAGUAUGGAACCAUCAUGGCCACCUUUAAAUAAUGAACCCAAGAAACUCCACCUCCAAAACCAACACAACACAUAGAUCCCAACUCUUCCCUCGUAUUUCAAGUCACAUUCUAAGUAUAUACCCAUUUCAACAAUGGUAAAUUAAUAACAAUCGGUCAUAUCUGACGGCAACUUAUCAAAGUAAUGUCACAGGCAAAUUCUUCUAAAUAUCAAAACCAUGAGAUCUAUGGAAACAAAAUUAUUACUAAUGCCAAAAACAAAUUAUUCAAUACUUUCUCUCAACAAACACCCCAAGAAAUCAUUCACACGUCCAAAAAGAACCAUUAUCAACUUUCCUUACUCAACAUUAAAUCUGCCAGAACAAUGUCCUUCCCUCACUGAAGAAAUCCAUUUCAGAUUCAUACCCAACAAAAUCAACAGUGUUGCAUCUAGGUAAAUGCAAAAUCCAUAAUCAAAACUCACUUUCAAUUCUGUACUUUCUACAACAGAUAAUUUUGUACCAAAAACCCAAAAUUCCACAUUUGAUUUAUAUAGACCAACCACCUCAGUCAUGAGAACAAAUGCUGCACAGGUACUGAUCAUGAUUGUGGGUGCCAUGGUAUUUGCCAUUAACCACAAACACAGUAAGAUUAACUAUUCUAACCAACAAAAAUUCAAGCUAAACUAUUCUUUGUUUUCUGUAUAAUGGGAAAAUAUCAACAAUUCAUUUGGUCUAUCAACAUGAAGCCCACCACAACUUAAAAUGGUUACUAAAACUCGUAUUUGUUGAUCAUCAAUAAAUGAAACUGCACUAUUCAUCUACAACACUAUAAUAAUUUGACAUGUUGUGAUUUAUUCUAAAUUCCUAAAUGUACAGACUAAUAAUACAAGAUAACAAUCCUAUUUCAUACUUACACAAAAUGUAUUACAGAUAUUAUUGCCACCAAAAUUUUAAGACCUUUUAUGAAUACCCUAAGGACACUUUCCUAUAAAUGCAACACCUCUCCCCCUAAUAUUAACUAUUAAGACAAUAGGAGGCAUCAGUUUCAAUGUUCAGAUGAAUAUUCUAUUGCCAGAUGUUUUAUUUAUAAUAUUAAAAAACAUAGGUAAAAGGAACCUUUUCCAUCAACACAAAGUAACUCAGAAAAAUACAGUAUCACUCAUCCUGAAUUUUGAGACAAAGGCAUUUUGUUUUUAAAAGUUCAUUAAAAUCUCAUGGCAAAUUAAAGGUUCUAUUAUUACCCAUUGGUUAUUUUGAAGAGGUUUUAAGAAAGCACAAAAUACAUUUCAACCAAACAACCAUCUCUUAAAACACAAAUAAGUUUCCACAACUUUGUGAAAAAAGGCAAAUCUAAAUCAACCAAGUAAAACAUUUUCCAGCACACCAUUUCCAUUUUACCAGCUUUAUUCAGUACACUUUACUGCUGGGAAACUGUAAAGGUCAAAGUGUUAUUUAGGGCGAUAACCGAACAUUUAAUGAAACUUCAGCUUAAAAAAAAAAAAGCCCAAACUGAGAAAUUUUAAAGCGUUAGAAAUUUUAUUAAAGUUAACAUUCCACAAGGUCAUACUCAUACAAAUCAAACUGCAAAAAGUUCCAGGCAUACAAACUAUCAUCUGUGUUAACGUGCCAUCUUUCUUCUCCAAAUGUCAAAAAUGUACUUGUUUUAAUGAUACAAAAAGUCUUUAGAAAGUCAAAUCCACUGUCCAUUGUGUUGGGUAAGAAACCUAUAUCUUCAUUCAUGUCAUGAAAUCCAUGUUAAAAGAACCCUGUCUUGGUUGUAUAUUAUCACAGCACUCUUGUAUUAAUCCAUUUUCCUCAAUUCCCCAUAGUGGACUGCCAUCUUGAUUUCUCAGUAGUAGGGUCCAUUUGAGACUCUUCAAGCUGACUGGGUGCUUGAUGAAAACAUUAAAAGAAAAAAAUGCUGUUGGAAUACCAAUAAUCUUAUUCCUUCAAACAGAGAACAUCCACCCACCUUGAAGAUACUCUUACCAUACACAAAGCAUUAAUUCUGUAACAGCUUUAAACUAUGUAACUGUAUUAAAGUUGUAUGCACUGCACACACAACUUCUCAAGGAGAGAAGCAUAGAGAGACUGCACUCAAGCAACAAAGUUCUUCUACUGUCACAGAUACAUAUGUAACCAUAAAAAAGUGGCAGUGAAGAGUCAAAUUUUUAAUAGUUAAAUGUAAUGUUGUUAUACUGUCUACACGAGAAGUAAAAACAAAAAUUCAAAUUCAAAGAUCCUGGAAAGCUAAAUCACAGCAACACUAUGGGUUCUAAAUCUCAAUGCAGAAAACUUUCCAAGCUUCUUCAAAUAAAACUAAUUAUGGAAAAGAAUCUUAAGGGAUAAAAAAAAAAAACCAAAGCAGUAGAUCACAGCAUAGAUUUCCAGUCCAACAGAUGUUAAUUUUGUUUAGAUAACACAAACGGCCAAUACAGAUGCCACCAUCUCUGGCUACAUAUCUGAAAAUGCAAGUAACAUGCAGCCACUAGGAAAAAAAGUGAUGAAAAAUGCAAAAUAUCUGCCUGGGUUAUUUGAUAUUUGCCAAAUCUGAUAAAACGCUAUCAGAUUUCAAAUUAAAUACAAAUAAAAUACUCCCAUUCCCAAAACAUCAAAUGUUCCUUAAAGAACAACAAAUCCAUUACCUAAAUAAUUUGAACUAAACGGAUAAGUGGGAAGCCAGGAGAUAUUACCAUUAACUAAAUGAUCUUGAUUUGUCAUGAUCAAACAUAAUUGCAAAGCUAAGUUUUAACCCCAGUCUUCUCUAUAAACUUUGCAGCUCUCAAACUAAAUUUGUCAAGUCUGGGUGACUGCUAGGAGAUUAUUAAAUAUAAAGGCAUUUUUGCUCAUUACAUAGCUAAUACCUCGUGUCUCCUAAAACCAUAAUUAGGAUUUAUUGUCUACCAUAUACAAUACAAAAAUCUACUUAAUAAACUAUUUGGUUAAUCAAGAGACAUUGCCACUCAUAUUUAAAAAAGACUGAAAAUGAGUGUCACAACAUCAGUAAUAAACAUCAAAUGCAAGAUAUUUCUCCUUAAUAUAUUCUGCCAAUUUCUCUUCCAGCCUAAAAGGAGAAUUAAAUAACUCAUUCAUUCAUAUGUCAGUAAAAUAUCUCCCAUUUGAAUUGUUCAUUCCUUAAAAUGAAGGGACAUAUACUUUUACACAAAAGUAUAAAAAUAAAAAUACCAUCAUUCCUCUUGCAGAGUGAAUUAUAAGUCAAUUUUUCCCCAAUCUCUACCGCUACAAUGCAAGAUAAAGCUCUAAAUGAAGUUGGGGAUGUAAAUACUAUCAUGGUGAACAAUGAACUGACACCAAGUAACAAUCAUUUCAAUGGCUGUAGGUUGAAUUUAUUCAACUUAGUACCUUAAAUGAUAAACUCAAUGCUUCUAUAUUCUUCUGCCACAGGACAAGUAGUAAAAUUUAUCCAGGACAUUAUAUAAAAUUUCCGUGUAAAACCAUUGUUGAAAAACAUUUUUUCAAAAGAAAACCUAAUGAUAUUAAAAUCAUUCCAAAAUUACUCAAUAAAAUGCACUAGUUUAUGUGACAAAUACAGAGGUCAGAAAAUACUAGCGUAUUGGUCAUGCUAUCACAUAUAUUUAAGAUGUUUUAAAAAAGAAGGAAUGAAGAAAAAGAAUGGUACAAGAGAAAGCAGACAACUUUUAUGACAUUAAAAAGCCAUGAUCAAUCUACAUUCCUGCAAAGCCAUCCAAAAGCCUGUAGUGAAAAUUUUGUUAAUAAGCGAAAGCGCUCACAAGCAUCAAAGAACCUAAAAGAAUGAUGAGGGACUUGGGAGUAAGCCAUUUAUUUUCAUGGAAUUACAAAUUCUUACAAAAGUUCAAUUUGCAAGUAAGCAAAGUUAUGCUAAAAAGUGAAAAAGAAAGCAGGCAUGAGUUCUGAGCGCCUGGAAAUUUUUUUGGUAACAAAAUCCAGUUCUUCAUCUGUAAAAUAGAAAUAGUAAUAGUACCUACCUCAUGUGGCAGUAGUGAGGAUUAAAUGAGAUAGGACAUUUACAGCUUUUAAAUUACCUGGCAUAUAGAAAGACCUCAACAAAUGUUAGCUAUUAUUCUGAUACACCACAACAACCAAGGUACUUGGGGACCUACAGACUGACCUUACUGAAUCAAAAUAAUUUAUAUUCCAACAGUAAUGCUAUUUCUGAAGAAUCCAUAGGAUCUUGGGGUCAAUUAUUUAAAGACAAAACACUUUCUGCUUUAAAAAGAGAAUUUAAUCUUUCAGUAAAGUAAGAUCACUACAGAAAAACUGGGCAGGGUUUACAUAUGAAAGCCCUACUACUCCACAUCAUUCAGCAAUUUGUGAACUACUGAAGAGAUAUGAUGGUUUGAUCUAGAAUUCCAUCAUCACACAGAUCUAGAUCUUCUGUGUAUUUCACAUAAGCUUCAAGCUCAUACUAGGAAAAGUUAGGAGAAUUUUUCCUCUAUGACAGUCUCUCAUUUAUACCUCCUUUGUAAGGAAAAUUGCUUGUACUAAACUAACAAUCACCACAAGCAAAGGUAAAGGCUUCUAUGCUAGGAAGGUUAUAAUAACCACUACCUCUUAAAACCCCCAGAUAUUACAGAUCCGGAAAUUAAGAAUAUAAAAUUGAGCAAGGGGGUCUUCUCUUUAAAUUUUAGUUCAGUAAAUGUAUCCCAAAAAUACUAGGACAUAGUAAAAUAAGUUGUAGGUGAAUGCAAGCAAGUAAUUCAUUACUGGAUUGGGUUUAAGAGGGACUCCCCUAAAAUAAGCAAUCUCCUUACCUCCACCUUCCAAGCAAACUCCUAUUUUUAAUACCAAGAAGAAAUGUGGGGGACAAGGAAGAGUACAAGAUAAAAGAAAUGAUAAAUGAUCCUUACUUUUAAAAGUAGAUGGCUUUAAUAAUGCUAUAAUUUAUUAAAUUAAUGUAAUUCAUAUUAUUUGAAAACUCAAGUACUUAUUGCAAAACCAAAGGGAAAAUGGGUACAAAAUCACAAUCAGGAGCAGAAAUUGAUCCUUCCCGUCAUGUAAUUAAGAUUCUUGGUGCUUAUGACUUGAUUUCAAUCUUCUUUGUACUGGUCGUUAAAUUUGAAAGCAUUUAAUAGUGAAUUCACAUAUUUUGUCUUAUUACCAAAAAUAGCUUUAAUCUUCAACAGGAUUACAAUAUAUUAAUACGUAUGGGUCCUAAAUAAGAUGAGCACAAAAACUACAAAAUGAUUUGAAAAAGACCAGCCAGCUAUUGAUCAGUAAGAAAAUAAGAUCAAUUAUGAUAACUACGAAAAAGAGUCAUUUAAGAUUUUAUAAUCAAAUCAAAUCUUCCCCAUUAUCUUUAUUAGUUAAAACUUGACAAAUGCAUGUUAAGACAUUGACAGUUGUAGUUUCUUGUCAUUUUUAAUUUUUACUGAGUCAAAGUUUUAGCUUUCUGGCAUACCUAAAAAUUAAUAUUUAAAGCAUUAAAACGUGUUUUAAUAACGAAUUUCAUUGUUUUUCAGUUAGACCCAAAACCCUAGUUGAUAAAUAAUGUUUCAUAGAAACUAUAUACAAUAAAUCAACAAGUAUUUAUUGAGCAUCCACUAUGUGCCAGGCAAUUAAUCUCUGCAAAAUACUGUAAGACAUGAGGUCACAAGUGUACUACAUUAGGAAAAUUUUCAUCUCUGCCCUCACCAUCCUCCAUCAAAAAACAAAAAUGAAUUUCACUAUUCUGCAAGCCUUAGUAGCCACUUAACACAAUGGAAGUUGAAGUAGUAAUUCGAAGCAAAAAUCAUAAAGAAUCUGGAUUUCCAAAUGUGAUUCAAAAAUAAUGAUUCCUAUGAAACUGCUAGUAUGUAAAUAUCAUACCUAAAAAGGUCUGUCAAUAAUAAAUAAAUCCUUUUGAGAAUGCAUCCAAAUUCAUUUAUACAGCCUUACCACUAACUCUUUUCCCACUAUUUCUAAGGUUGGGAGUUGGAAAAAUUAAUCCAUGGUAGUAGUAACCAAGUCUUCUAAUACCUAAGCAUAAUCCUAGUGUGAAAAGAACUUUUUGUUGAGCUUUCGAGCUCAAGGAAAGUUCAGAAUUACUUAUUAGAAUUACUACAUUGAGAUGCAUUAAAAAGUAUGUUCUAUUACCAAAAGAGAACCCAAGGGCUUCUUCUGAGUUCUACACAGGUAGGGUACAGUUGACAAAAGGGAUGGAUCUAGGACAAGAGCAAGCAAGCUUUCCUUAUAGGACGAGACAGUAAAUUAUCUUAGAGUUCGUGGCCAUUAGCUACAACUACUCUCAACUCUGCAGCUGAAUGGGAAAGCAGACACAGACAACGUGUAAAUGAAAGAGCAUAUCUGUGUUCCAAUAAAACUUUAUUAACAAAAAUAGGGGUGAGUUUACCGACACCCAAAUCUAGGGUAGUGUUAGAAGCACGUUCAAAUGUGAGUCUCUUUUUGCAUUUUAACUUUGCCUGAGUUUAAAUGGAGACAGUAGAAAAUAAUAAUAGGUUGGAGUAAAUUAAUAAGCAAAUUUUAAUAUAAACUUUACACACAUCUAACCACGUUGAUUAUUUAUUUUUGUACUGCUUUGAGUUUCACUAAAUCCCUUUAUAUUUUUAUAACUGACUCACUCAAGACUUCCAAACUCAUAUUUAAAGGUAAAAAACAGAUUAAACAUGUAAAUUGAAUAAAACUUACUAAAUGCUUCCACCAACAUCUAUUACGUUGUACAGGACCUUUACAGAAUUCAUUCUCAGGAUUCACAUUUCUGGAGAAAACAGAAAGAAUAUAAUUUUAUACACAGAAAAAGACAAAAAUAGACUAUCAAAAUGCCAUGAUUUAUUUGGAAACUUCAACAUCUUGUAAGGAUCACUCACCAGAAGACUAACAUGUAUGUGUAUUUAUGAACCAAGCAAAAAAUAAACAAUUCUAACCCAGAGGAUCUUAAAUUUGGCUGUACAAAUGUAGGGGGCUCAUCUGUAGAAUAAGUUACUUUCACGUGCCUAAGUCUCAGUCCCGAAGAGCUCCAAGAGAAUAGGUAAAAAUCUGGGCUCCUAAGUCGGUCUAAUGGGCAGACAGCAUUGAGAACUAGUUGUUUAACCAGAAACAUUACUCCUUCACAGUACAGAACUUUUUUAUCGUCUGGUCUUUCAUCUAAUCUACUCUCAAGACUUCUAAAGGAAAACUUCAAUUACCCACCUGCAAUGCCAUGUUUCUCACUCCUUAAUAUUGCCUAUUAUUUCACAUUAUCAUGUACUUUAACCAACAUUAUUCUAAGAUAAAGUAUUAGAAAGAAAACUGUAGGCACAAUUUCAAACUUUUUUACUAAUUGAACUGACUUACUCAACUCAAACACCACUAACCCUUUCUAAAAUAGGUACUUGGUAAUGAAAACAUCAUAUCCACACUUUUCACUCGUUAGACUGAAAUACCUUAUAAACUAAACAUGGAAGAUGAUGUUUCCCCAAGUCUCAAAUACCUUCAGAACAUAGGUAUACACUUUUUUCAGUCACUCCUGCUUUGAAGUAUGAUUAUAAUAAUCACAGUAACAUGUAGAACUACCAAAAAGCUCUGUUUAAAGUUCAAUAUUAAAGUAUAGCAAUUUAAGGAUUUUUAGAGAGUAAUAGAAUAGUUUAGGAUUCAAGUUAAAACUAAGCUACCCAAAUGCUUUUCCCAAAUGACUAAGGUUUCAAAUUUUCAAAUUAUAAAAUAAGUUCCUGAUUAUCUUACCAAAUCUAAAUCCCCUUAGUCGUUUUGACUAAUCAAGAAAUAUAGUAAAGAUCUGCUUCAAAAUUACCUUUAAGAGUAAGGUGCUAAAAUAUCCUUCCAACAAGUUAACAAACGAAGAAUUUUACAAGCAACAUUGUAUUAUGUUUAAGCUUCCAAAUUUAAUCUGACCUUAUAAAGAAGAGAAUUUGCGAACAAAGACAAACCUUAAAUCAACCAAGUAAAAUAAAUUGAUUUAACCUAAGAGAAGGGUGGAGCUGACUUAGGGAAUAUUGGUGAAACAAAUAUCUGAGGGAAAUCCAUCAUAUUGGUCUGAUCACGUGCUUAUAAAAAAGCUCCCGACCAGUCCAAGGAGGUGCCACCAAAACCUGAAGAGGACUUAGCUCUCAUUCACACCACCACAAAAAUCAGCGACACCAAUGUAACCUACAAUACAACCUCCUGCCCAAAAAGCGACAAAGCAGUACUUUGCUUUCCUUUGAAGGAGGAGAAACCAAGUUCAGCUUAGGGAGACCACAAAAGUUGAUGAUUUUGCUCAUAUUCCCACCUAUCUUUAACAUUUUGCAGUAUUGUGGAUUCUCAUUUAAUAUGAAAGUACAGGUAUAACAUAAAUAACCAUUUUGAUUGCUGGUCCUUUUAUAAUCAAAGGUAAGGACAGCUUUAGUCAAGUCCUGUUCAUAUUAUCAUUAUUCCCGUUUGUACUUUUCUUGGGAUAUUUAAUUCCGUCACUUUUUAAAACCCUUAAAACAAUUUUUACAUUUAAAUUAAGAAUAAAACCAGAGAGCAGUGUAAAAUAAAUAUAAGAAAUCUCCCACAAAAAUAAGGUAGUGAUAGUCAUUAACAUUAAUAAGAAAUCUUCGCCACAAGACAACUCACAAACCAUUAAAGCAAAAUGUCUAGCUUGAUAAUCUAAAUUAAAAUGAUGAUUACUACAUAGUACACAUUAAGGGUAUAAUUGCUUGAGAAAUACUGAAUUUCAAAUAAAUGUUUCAAAAAGCAAAUGAUUGUCUUCCAAAACACAGAACUAUCCAGCUUUACACAAUGUUUAAAUCAAAAGUUUAUCAAAUUGUUGUAGGAAACAUUCUACUUGAACAAUAUGUAAACAAUCAAGUCCCAUAGUUUUUAUUUAUGAAGUUCAGAAUAUCCUUGAAUUUAAACUAUAAAGGUUAAUUACAUUCAGAAAUAACAGCCAAUUUGAAAAUUAAAAGUUUGUACUGAACCACUCAAUCUGGAAGAGGAAGGUGGUUGGUAAAAUGAGGAUAUUUAUCUUUGAAUACAGACAUUUCUUAAAGGAAAUUAAAUAGAUUAUGUCAGGUAUGUGAACUAUAAAUCCCCAUUUAUAUCCCGAUGGUCAACGGCAAAUGUUCCAUGAAAUACACUAAACUGUAAAUAUAUUCAAUAACUUUCUGAAAAAAUCCAAACAAUACUUUUAUUGUAGCAUUCUAAAUCUUAAUUGCUUAAAGCAAUUUCACACUAACUGCUUUUUAAGAUCAACUUUCCAGUAUGGCUGCAUUUGUAUUACUUAUUAAUAUUUGGAAUGCCUAAAAUUAAGAAAGUCAGGUACACCAUCGCCCAGGUCUCAUGUCACCACAAAAAUAACAUAAUUUGCAAUGCAAAAAUUACAAAAACUAUUCUCCAGUUUGUACAAGAGAAUUAGACACUCCUUACCAUUAUUUUUAUUGCACAAUUUAAGAGCUAAAAGUUAUCUUAAGAGAUUGGAAACUCCACAAAUAUUUUAUACAAAUUAGGAGACUAGGUACAGUGACUAAAAUGUCAAGAUUACAGGGCUAAUUUACAUUAGAGGCUGGGUCUCCUGGUUGCUGAAUCACAGUUAUAUUUUCCACUCUACCAUACACCUCUCAUUAAUGCAGAAGAUGAAGAUGUCCUCAAAUUAUCUUUUUCCCCUAUGCCCCUCAACAAAGAAUAAAAUCUCAGAGGAGAAAAAAUUAAUUGGUUGUCCACAGUCCAGAUUUUUAAAUAAUCAAGAAACUGUGAAUAGUAAACUAAACUUGAAAGAAAAUUUAUAUUCAAAAUUAUGUAUUUCACAUACUCCAGCCUCUAAGUAUCACAUCAUAGUUCAUGAAAAUCUUAUGAUUAACUAUGGGCAUGGCUUCUUUGCUUUCCAUAGAACUUCGGGUUAAUUUGUUAAACAGUUAUUAUCAUGACAAAUGCAAUGCAACCCCAUCACCAACUUGUUCAUGUGAUUUUUAUGAUUCAAGAAUUAGUUUAAAAUGCUAAAAACAAGUAUUUUAGUAUUUAUCACUUUGGUUCUUAAGCAGAAAAUAGGAAUAAACUAAAUAAUAAUUUACUUAUGGAAUACAGCAAUUUAAAAUAGUAUCUCUGUUUAUAUUGCCCUCAUGGGUCCAUUACUUUUAUCCAUGAAAACCACGGCCCAUUUUACAAUUUGGCUCAAGCAGCAAGUAUCAAAACACUGAAUAUAAUAAGCACUAUCAUGAAGGUCAAAGUAUAUGCAAGACCAUCUUAAAAUGUGAUUUAUAAUCCUUUAUCUUGUUGGUGAUAAAAGGAAAGCUGUAUUCCAUUUGACUGCGGAUUAAUUUAGGUUAUUAUAUCAUUUAGGUUUUCUUUCUAAUUAGUGAUACUGCAGUGAAAAGGAUAAAAAUCUUCAUUUAACAUUCCUAACCUUCUUCAACCAUUCACUUUUUAUUUUAUGGGUCAAAUUACAUCUUUGGUAGGCCAUUAUAAAUUUAUUGCCUACAUAUACUUAAAUUUACAUUACUCUUUAUAUAUGUUUGUGUCUUAAGAGGCCCAACUCUCAAUUUUUAUCAGUAUCCAAUCACAGCUGAAUACCAAUCUAAUAUCCUAUCAUUUGCAUAGAGUAAGCCCUAACCUUCCCAUUUGUGUUGAAGAAGCUUGGGAUGAAAGAUGUUUUGACUUUUUUGUAUAUGUUAUAUCUUUAAAACACCACAGUUAAAGGUCUAACAUUUAGUUUUCUUUUGCACACUAUAAUAAACACAAAAUGUGAUCAAAUAACAAAAGGACUGAAAAGGAAAAAAUGAAGCUAAAGCAAAGGCAAUAAAAAUAUUACCUUUAUCACCUAUUUGAAUCAACAGAAUAAGCCAACACGAACAGUUAAAAGAUUUUCCACAUAAACUUCAAGGACACAGGUAAACUUGCCCUUAUAUUAAUUACCUGGUUAUUUGGCUAUUCUUAAAAUUUCCCAAGAUAUCUUUUAUUGUAUUACAUAUUUCCUCUGGUAAAUCCCUUAUAAUAGCGGCUUGACAUUAAUUUCCACAUUCAGUGUUAACUUUUGAAGAAAGGAUGUUUCCUGAAAAUUAUCAGUGGACCUAUUUUUUCAUUCACGUAUCUGGUUUUAAGAUGUCAAAGUACUGUAUACAUGUUGAAAAUUAUUUCUUCCUUUUAUGCUUUAAAAACAAUUAGUAAGCCAUAGAUUCUCAGAGGUCUCUUUAGAGGCAUUAUUCUAGUUUCCUGUAAGAUAACUCAUUUUUGUACCUUUGAAAACAAACUCAUUAAAAACAGGUAAAAUGAAUAAUUUAAAUCCAUUAAAAAAUAUCUAGAAUAUGAGAGUGUCGAUUUAGUUUUUGACAUAUAGUUCUUUUAAGAACUGUACGAUCAGCAAAUCCAAAAUUCUAGGCCAUUUCUAAAAUGUGAUGUGUAUCAUCAAAAAAAAUGGCUGAAGAAUGUACAUUUCAGAAUAUAAAGACACAUAGUUCUGAUGACUCAACUACUAAUUUAACCAUAACCCUGAAGCACCAUUUUAUUGGGAAAUACUGCGUGUCUUACCACUCUGAUAUAAAUUACAUCUAUCAACUGUUUUAAUACUAAUACAAAAGUCCUUUGACGUAAGGUAAAGGAAUUUGAUGGGCUUUUUCUCAUCCUUUAUUCGAGAUAAAAAAAGUCUAGAGUUUAUGUUUCACUGACAAACUUGAGUGAUAUUUUCCUACUCACAUGUUGGUAGCUAUUAAAUUUCAGAUGUUGGAUAAAAAUAUUUACUUACUUGCUAUAUAAAAUAAGACUUUCGCAAAGACUUCCUUUGUCCUCAAGGAUAAAACUCCACGGUCUGU
rnacentral:lncRNA from 1 species